CAAUACUGGUCUAUGGACCAAAGGUUAGGAACUCCUGUCAUGGGUCAUUGGUCACUCAUAUUUGACUCAGAAUAAAUAUCUUCAAAUAUUUCACAGAGCUUGACUAUUUUUUCAUCAGUAGUAAAAAACAUGAGACUUUUGAGUUAGAUAAUAUUCUAAGUCUACAUCAAUGUCUAUUAAUCCAUAGCUAGAAAAGCAACUGAAAGCAACUUAUUUUUUGUAUUGCCUGACUAGCAGAGGAAAAAAAGAAAAAGAAAACCAUGUGUGUAGCUGUUGCUCUGUGUGCAUGCCUACCGAGCUUGUCAGUUAAUCAAAAGAGAUCAUUAAAUUGAAGCCAAGGAACUGAAGUAAGAAAUACCAGAGAACAACAGAGGAAUGGAAAUUGAAUUGUCAUUAAAAAGAAACUUGAGAAUGACUGUGUAGCAGAGAAUGAGGAUGCAUAUCAACUUUUGCUUCCUUCAGUAUUGGAUUUUAUGUCAUUAAAAUUUUUAGUAUAGCCAAACAAAUAUAAUCAUCAAUAUGUUAAUUUUCAUAUUUAUAUUUUCAUCAUAAUGCAGAAGAUGAAAAAACUAUAUAGACUAUUUGCUAAUGCUAAAAAUCUUUAGUGUUGAGAGUUAGACAUAAAAUAAAAAUAAUAUAAAUUUAGCA
rnacentral:lncRNA from 13 species